GAAAACAACUAAGCAGAUUGAGAGAAAGACACCCUGAAAGAGCCCUACUCUGCAACAGAGAGAAGGCUGGAGCUCACAUCUCUACAACCUUUUGGUCAAGUAUAUUGUUGUAGGAGGUAGAAAACUUCAUGGGAAAGACUGAGGGGUGGAGUGCUCCUGCUUCCAUCUGGCAUUGAUGACAAGAACUUCUUCACUGCACUGAAGCAUCCUGAGAGCUGUUGCUGAAGAUGAUACAGUCAGACAGGUUCCUCACAGCUGGAUCCUGUUCAGGUCGAUAUGGUCUGCUCUGAAUGACCCAAACAAAAUUGACUUUUCACUAAAAAAUAAAUCACAGAGGCUGGUGUAUGGCCACAAGAACUUUGUUGCAGACUGGAUCCAAGAAGAUCUUUGGGUCUUCUAGCAACAAUUUUUCUGCUUCUGUCCUUGAAGGAUUUUCAAAACUGUAGCUACAUGACUACCAUGGUCAGUGUUUUAUUCAGUGUGGCUUGUGAAUAAGAGAAGUUACAUGAUAAAGAUCUAAACUAAAAUUCAACCUCCAUAAAAAUGGAAAACAAUUAUAUCUUACUCCCUCACAUAUUCUUGAAUAGAUGGCUGUAAUUCUGCUUCUGCUUCUUUGGUAGAUCUUUUCUCAUCUAAUUCAAUCAACUAAUCCUGCAGAAAACUCUCAAGUCUCUAGGGCUUCUCUUGUUAGUUUGCAAGGGUUUUUCUUUUUCUUCAGCUAAUGAGUUGACCACUCACACAGUGGUCCAAUAAGUUCCAAGCUUCCUUAAAGUGAGAAAUGGGGGAGAGAGGCAGAACAAUCCAGGGGCUGGAGUGAUCCCUAUGAAAUAACAUAUAUACCACCUGUUUUGUUUGCACCCUACUUUAAGAGCCAUUAAUUGACUUUUGCUAGACAUGCACAAGGAAGGAAGGUAGGUUUGUAUUCUUCUUAAACUUUAUGUGCUCAGGUUAGAAAAACAAGAACAAAACAAUUCUGUAUGGUCUUGGUUGGCACAUUAUUAGCUCUAAGUCCACCAAUUAGUGGAAAACAGCUGUUCAAAGGCUGAGUACUCUGUUCUCUACACCAGGCAAUGCUUGAAAACCUUCUAAUGCUAUACCAGACACACAGGUUAGCUAGCUAGUGUGCCAAAUCAAGUUACUUAUCAGAACCAUAAUUGCUUUCUUUUCUGAAAAAGGCAAUUUGCUUCAUUCACAAACAUAUUUUAAUUAAUGUAUAUUUAUGUUGGAAAUAGUUAUCAGAAAACUGACAACAUCUUGAUCAGAAAUAGAAAUCUUGUUGGUCUAAGACUUGAGGGCUGAUAGUCAAACAUCUUCUGGAGAUCACUUUAUUUUCUUCCUUUUCUUUAUUUCCCAUUGGCUGUGACAAAGCAAGCCAAAUGGUAUUUAAGGAACCCUGCAAACCUCAUAGCUCUUGCCAGGUUACUGUCUGUGGGUAUGAAAAUUUGAGUUUAUUGUUAUUUGGAGUCACUGUCCCUGGAGGUGCUUAAGUAAAGGCUGGAUGUAGCACUCAGUGUCUCAGCUCUGGCUGACCAAGGUGGUGUUAGGUCACAGGUUGGGCUCAGUGACCUCAGAGGUAUUUUCCAACCUAGUUAAUUCGGUGAUUUAAGUGUCUAAUUAUUUCAUAUUAGCAGUGUAGCUAAAAAAAAAUAUGCAUAUCCUGGAAUGCACAUUCAGGUCAUUAAAAAAACCC